GAACGCUGGCGGCAGGCUUAACACAUGCAAGUCGAGCGGAUGAAAGUAGCUUGCUACCGGAUUCAGCGGCGGACGGGUGAGUAAUGCUUAGGAAUCUGCCUAUUAGUGGGGGACAACGUUCCGAAAGGAGCGCUAAUACCGCAUACGUCCUACGGGAGAAAGCAGGGGACCUUCGGGCCUUGCGCUAAUAGAUGAGCCUAAGUCGGAUUAGCUAGUUGGUAGGGUAAAGGCCUACCAAGGCGACGAUCUGUAGCGGGUCUGAGAGGAUGAUCCGCCACACUGGGACUGAGACACGGCCCAGACUCCUACGGGAGGCAGCAGUGGGGAAUAUUGGACAAUGGGGGGAACCCUGAUCCAGCCAUGCCGCGUGUGUGAAGAAGGCCUUUUGGUUGUAAAGCACUUUAAGCGAGGAGGAGGCUACCUAGAUUAAUACUUUAGGAUAGUGGACGUUACUCGCAGAAUAAGCACCGGCUAACUCUGUGCCAGCAGCCGCGGUAAUACAGAGGGUGCGAGCGUUAAUCGGAUUUACUGGGCGUAAAGCGUGCGUAGGCGGCCAAUUAAGUCAAAUGUGAAAUCCCCGAGCUUAACUUGGGAAUUGCAUUCGAUACUGGUUGGCUAGAGUAUGGGAGAGGAUGGUAGAAUUCCAGGUGUAGCGGUGAAAUGCGUAGAGAUCUGGAGGAAUACCGAUGGCGAAAGCAGCCAUCUGGCCUAAUACUGACGCUGAGGUACGAAAGCAUGGGGAGCAAGCAGAUUAGAUACCCUGGUAGUCCAUGCCGUAAACGAUGUCUACUAGCCGUUG
rnacentral:rRNA from 1 species